rnacentral:lncRNA from 1 species
GGCCUCUUUGUCAGCUGGAGUUGCGCGGGCUGACGCGCCACUAUGUAGCGGGUUUCGGGCGGGCCACGCGUGCGGGACAGGAACCCAACCCCAGCCGACCUUGAGCUCCAGGAGUUCGUCUCUUACGUCUGCGGAAGUGCAGCUGCCUCAGUUCUUAGCGCAGGUAAAGAAAUGGAUUAGUGAUAACUCAAGUUUCAUCACCUCUCUACAAGUUUCACGCUGUUUAAGUCAUGAACCUACAAAAGCCUGUGAAAAAAUCUUUGAAGAUGCUCAGCUUGUUUCAGUCUGAAAUUUCUCCAAGACCAAUGAACAAAACAGGAUCAUGCCCUGAAUACACACCCAAGCUGCAGGCUCCUGCUUAGCCCUAUUUUGGUUUGGCCUCCAUGAGAUCUUCAGCCACAAUAGCAGGAGAUAAAAAUCUUCCUAGAAGCUUUCAUCAGCUGCAAGUUUUCUUACAGAAUGAAACUUUUCUGCUAUUUUUCUCAUAGUUAAUUGGCUAUUUGAGAAAACCGAAUUUCUGGCUCUCAGCAUUUAAUUGGAUUCUGUGGGUGACUGGAUGACCGCUUUGCACAUCACCAUGGGUAUCAUCCUUACCUUCUUUAAACCUUUUGUGCCAGUCAAAAAUUCUUGCUCUUGAUAUGUCAUCACCGGAAACUACUUUUUUUUUUUGUUUCUCUUUUGUGACAGGGUCUUCCUCUGUCACCCAGGCUGGAUGGAGUAUAGUGGAACAAUCAUAGUUCACUGCGGCCUUGGUACCCUAGGCUCAAGCGAUCCUCCCACCUCAGCCUCCUGAGUAGGUGGGACCACAGGUGUGUACCACCAGACCUGGCUAAUUUUGUUAUUGUUGUUUUUUAUAGAGGUGGGGGGGUCUCCCUAUGUUGCCCAGGCCUGUCUUGAACUCACGGGCUCAAGUGAUCCUCCUGCCUCAGCCUCCCAAAGUUCUGGGAUUACAGGGGUGAGCCACUGGACCCAGCCAGAAACUACUUUUAACAGUUCUAAUUGCCACUUGUCUUGGCUGUAUAUUCAGAAAUAGCCAGAUUGGAAUUAUGGUUUUUUGAUUGCUAUUGAUAGGGAGGUUCAAAUGCAAUAUACCAAAAUAGUCUAUUUCAGGUGUCUCACUGACAUAUUUAACUUUACACAAAAUUUAAUAUGAAUUCUUUGCUCUAACAGUCAACAAUUUUUAGGUCAACAAAAGAAUAACUCUAUUCACAUCUAAGAAAGUUAGUUGGCAACCUUAAAAGCUCUGUUGUAGCCAGCUGAAACAUAACCUAUUCCAGCAAUUUCACAAACUACACAAAGAAAAAUUGGUAAAUAUUUCAACAGAUGAGUACAAAUAAUCUUUGGAGAAGCUGAUAAAGAUUUCAGUGCUAUAUCAUCUUAGCCUGCUAUUUUCCCACCUACAAAAGGGUCGAAAAUAAAUCAGCUUUUUCUUGUCCAAUUAAUAGGAAAAUGAUAUAUGAAAUACUUUAAUUAUUAGUCGGCACUGUCCCACCCCGAAAGAACCUAAGACUUAAAAAUACAUCCUAAUAACAUGUAUAUUGCCACUUGGCUGUACACUGAAGACUCAGGUAUCUACAGUAUUUUGUAUUCUCUUCCCGAUUGCACGAUUUUUUCAGUGCUUUGCUUUCAGGGAAAACAGACUCAGGCUGGUCUUUCUUAUGGUAUUAAGUACAGGCUACUUUAAGAUAAUUUUGUGGUGUUUGCUAAAUUCAAGAAAUCAAUACAGGCCGGGCGUGGUAGCUCACACCUGUAAUCCCAGCACUUUGGGAGGCCGAUUCCGGCGGAUCACCUGAGGUCAGGAGUUCAAGACCAGCCUGGCCAACAUGGUGAAACCCCGUCUCUACAAAAUAUACAAAAAUUAGCCGGGCGUGGUGGCUGGCGCCUGUAAUCCCAGCUACUUGGGAGGCUGAGGUGGGAUGAUCGCUUGAACUCGGGAGGUAGAGGUUGCAGUGAGCCGAGAUCGCGCCACUGCACUCCAGCCUGGGCGACAGAGCGACACCGUCUUAAAAAAAAAAAAAAGAAUUCAAUACAUAGUGUCAUGUGCCUUUACUGGGGGAAUCUCCUUUACCUUUUGGGGAGGCUGAUAGGGCUGCUUAAAAUAUUUGUAUUAGGCACUGGAAGAUGUAAACGGGACCUUAUCCUAUUUAAACUCUCUUUAAAUUAGCUAGAAAUGGGCUGGGAACAACAGGAACCCACCAUUUAACUACGGCGGCUAAUCCCCCAAGUAUGGUAACAUACUGUACUGCACCCCCUAAAAGUGUGUUACCAACAGGACCACAAACAAGUUUGCCCACUGUUUUUAAUGCAAAUGUUCCUUUCAAGAUCGCAAACCCUUCAAUACACAGGGCCUAAUCCAGUCGCGCUUUACUACUACGGGUUACUCCCGCCAACUGGCAGGGGAGCCGCCCCGGGCCCCGCGGAAAAGGCAGGUGCGCGUGAGGGAAAGCAUGAGAGCCCGGGCCGCGCCCACCUCGGCCCCAGGCACUACGGGUCCUGCGGGUCCCGCGGGUCCCGGAUUCGAGGCGAAGCGGCCCAGAGCCUGCGGCUGCUCAGACCUCCUCACCGCGCCCACCUCCCAGCCACCUCCUGGCUCCAGGUCCAGAGCAGGAGCAGGACUACCGGGGUCCCUGGCACACAAGGAGCAGAAAUACCUUGAGGGGCGGGACCAAGUAGCCCAGCGCUGGAGGAAGACCCGCACCCUCGCGGGAGUUCUGAGAGCCUUAGCAGGCCGCGACAACACUGGGAGACGUGUCUGCCAAUCACCGGAUGGGGGCGGUCCUGGGGGGGGGGUCAUGCAAUUGGCUAAGCACGGAGAAGCUCUCGUUCCAUUGGCCAUUUUUCCGGCCUCAAGCCCACCCCUAGGCCUGAAUCCCCGUCGCGUUCCGCCGGUCUGCUUCUCGGCCGAAAGGCUGGGGAGGAGGAGAGGAAACGCCUGGGUUAGUUUUGGUUCCUUCUGCUGGCGCUCAGGCUGCUGGAAGAGUCCUAGACCUUCACCCGUGGUCCCUUGGGCCCGUUUCACGCCCACGUUCUGACAUGUCCUGUGGUAUUCUGUACCUCUGCCUUCUACCCUGUGUCCCACGCUGAUCCAUCCUAGGCAGGGAGAAGGCAGCGUCGCAGGGACAAUGCCAAAAUCAAGAUAUUUCUCUUAGAGCUUUCUAAUAUUAAUACCUUAUGUCUAGGUAUGGUAUACAAUAAGCAUAUAUAUAUUUUAUAAAUCUAAAACCACUCCCCCUCAUUAAAUCAUCAAACUAGUCCCAAUGAAGUAGGUACUGUUAUUCCUUAUUUUUCAAGCAAGGAAACAUGAGCAGGAGGAUUUAGUGAUCGGCUCACGUCCUGUCAUGUUUACUUCCUAAAUAUCAGCUGUAUCCUGUCCUCAUUCCUAUUCCCUUGCUCUAAUUCAGACCUUCAUAAUUGCUUGCCUGGAUUAGUUCUACAAAUAGCUCCCAACUCCUUUCCCGGUCAUCCUCCAAAGCCAAAGAUUAAUCUUCCUAAUGCAAAUCUGAUUGUGUCUCUUAAACCCUUCUCAAGCCUCUCAAAUGUCAACUCCUUCUGUGGCACCUCAUUGCCUGUAGGUUCUGGCAGAGACUGCUUUUUAUUGAAAUAUAACAUGACCACAGAUGAGUACACAAAAAUGCACAUUCGGCUGAAAUUUCACAAACUAAUCACAGUCCUGCCACCAACAACUAAUUUAAGAAACAGAACAUGGCGGGGCGUGGUGGUUCAUGCCUGUAAUCCCAGCACUUUGGGAGGCCGAGGUGGGCAGAUCGCUUGAGGUCAGGAGUUUGAGACCAGCCUGGCCUACAUGGUGAAACCCUGUCUCUACUAAAAAUACAAAAAUUAGCUGGGUGUGGUGGCACACGUCUGUAAUCCUAGCUACUCCGGAGGCUGAGGCAGGGGAAUCGCUUGAACCCGGGAGGUGGAGGUUGCAGUGAGCGAGAUCAUGCCACUGCACUCCAGCC